GCAGUCGAGCGGAUGAAGAGAGCUUGCUCUCUGAUUCAGCGGCGGACGGGUGAGUAAUGCCUAGGAAUCUGCCUGGUAGUGGGGGACAACGUCUCGAAAGGGACGCUAAUACCGCAUACGUCCUACGGGAGAAAGCAGGGGACCUUCGGGCCUUGCGCUAUCAGAUGAGCCUAGGUCGGAUUAGCUAGUUGGUGAGGUAAUGGCUCACCAAGGCGACGAUCCGUAACUGGUCUGAGAGGAUGAUCAGUCACACUGGAACUGAGACACGGUCCAGACUCCUACGGGAGGCAGCAGUGGGGAAUAUUGGACAAUGGGCGAAAGCCUGAUCCAGCCAUGCCGCGUGUGUGAAGAAGGUCUUCGGAUUGUAAAGCACUUUAAGUUGGGAGGAAGGGCAGUAAGCGAAUACCUUGCUGUUUUGACGUUACCGACAGAAUAAGCACCGGCUAACUCUGUGCCAGCAGCCGCGGUAAUACAGAGGGUGCAAGCGUUAAUCGGAAUUACUGGGCGUAAAGCGCGCGUAGGUGGUUUGUUAAGUUGAAUGUGAAAUCCCCGGGCUCAACCUGGGAACUGCAUCCAAAACUGGCAAGCUAGAGUAGGGCAGAGGGUGGUGGAAUUUCCUGUGUAGCGGUGAAAUGCGUAGAUAUAGGAAGGAACACCAGUGGCGAAGGCGACCACCUGGGCUCAUACUGACACUGAGGUGCGAAAGCGUGGGGAGCAAA
rnacentral:rRNA from 1 species